CAGUAGCCGCGGUAAUACAGAGGGUGCGAGCGUUAAUCGGAUUUACUGGGCGUAAAGCGUGCGUAGGCGGCUUCUUAAGUCGGAUGUGAAAUCCCUGAGCUUAACUUAGGAAUUGCAUUCGAUACUGGGAAGCUAGAGUAUGGGAGAGGAUGGUAGAAUUCCAGGUGUAGCGGUGAAAUGCGUAGAGAUCUGGAGGAAUACCGAUGGCGAAGGCAGCCAUCUGGCCUAACACUGACGCUGAGGUACGAAAGCAUGGGGAGCAAACAGGAUUAGAUACCCCUGUAGUCCCUGUCUCUUAUAC
rnacentral:rRNA from 1 species